rnacentral:rRNA from 1 species
GCCUACGGGGGGCAGCAGUAGGGAAUCUUCCACAAUGGGCGAAAGCCUGAUGGAGCAACGCCGCGUGGGUGAAGAAGGUCUUCGGAUCGUAAAACCCUGUUGUUAGUGAAGAAAGUGCGUGAGAGUAACUGUUCACGUUUCGACGGUAUCUAACCAGAAAGCCACGGCUAACUACGUGCCAGCAGCCGCGGUAAUACGUAGGUGGCAAGCGUUAUCCGGAUUUAUUGGGCGUAAAGGGAACGCAGGCGGUCUUUUAAGUCUGAUGUGAAAGCCUUCGGCUUAACCGGGGUAGUGCAUUGGAAACU